UACAGAGGGUGCAAGCGUUGUUCGGAACUAUUGGGCGUAAAGGGCUCGUAGGCGGCCAACUAAGUCAGACGUGAAAUCCCCAGGCUCAACCUGGGAACUGCGUCUGAUACUGGAUGGCUUGAAUCCGGGAGAGGGAUGCAGAAUUCCAGGUGUAGCGGUGAAAUGCGUAGAUAUCUGGAGGAACACCUGCGGUGUAGACGGCUUACUGGACCAUAACUGACGCUGAGGCACGAAAGCGUGGGUAGCAAACAGG
rnacentral:rRNA from 1 species